ACAACUCAAGGUAGAUUCUUUUAACAUACAAUGUUCACAAAUUUAUUCUUUUCUUGCAAUUUGUUUUCUUGCUACAAAUUUCACUCAACCCCCUCCUGGUUACCUGGUGGUUGGAAAUUAAUUUGUUUGAGGAUCCGUGUGCUUCAUGUGAUCGACUUGGACUUACCACUAAGACUAAUUCUUGGUGUGUGAUUCUGUUUAUUAUUUGACACGGGUUUGGGUAGUGAAACCUGUCUGACCAAUUUUCUUUGGUGUUGUAGGUUGUACCUGUCUAUCCCGAGGCAGAACUUUCUUCUUCUUAUAUGUGGACACAUGUUGAGGUUUUUCUGUUUUGACCUUUUCAGUAAUUGCCGCACGGUUAGGCAUCAUCCAUUUGGAUUUGGACUCUGCUGUUGCAUUGUUUCCUCUCUACAAAGUCUCCAACUCAAAUCUAAAUUAAAUUAUACAUAAAACUUCAUCAAAUUGUCUGAAUUUCAAAUUGUUCAUGC
rnacentral:lncRNA from 1 species